CAGCCGCCGCGGUAAUACGUAGGUGGCAAGUGUUAUCCGGAAUUAUUGGGCGUAAAGCGCGCGCAGGCGGUUUCUUAAGUCUGAUGUGAAAGCCCACGGCUCAACCGUGGAGGGUCAUUGGAAACUGGGGAACUUGAGUGCAGAAGAGAAAAGCGGAAUUCCACGUGUAGCGGUGAAAUGCGUAGAGAUGUGGAGGAACACCAGUGGCGAAGGCGGCUUUUUGGUCUGUAACUGACGCUGAGGCGCGAAAGCGUGGGGAGCAAACAGGAUUAGAUACCCCCGUAGUCCCUGUCUCUUAUAC
rnacentral:rRNA from 1 species